AAGGAAUUAGCUCAAUGGUAGAGCUACCGUUUUACACACGGUAGGUUAGGUGUUCAAGUCAUCUAUUCCUUA
rnacentral:tRNA from 1 species